CACUUCUAGCAUUAACAGUAUUAGAGGCACUGCCUGCCCAGUGACAUAUGUUAAACGGCCGCGGUAUCCUGACCGUGCAAAGGUAGCAUAAUCAUUUGUUCCUUAAAUAGGGACUUGUAUGAACGGCUAAACGAGGGCUUAUCUGUCUCUUACUUCUAAUCAGUGAAAUUGACCUUCCCGUGAAGAGGCGGGAAUAAUCCAAUAAGACGAGAAGACCCUAUGGAGCUUAAAUUAAUUAAUUCAAACACCCAAUAACUAAAUCUACUAGAGAUAAACUUUUGCCUAAUGAAUUAAGAAUUUCGGUUGGGGUGACCUCGGAGCAUAACAUAACCUCCGAAUGAUAUUAAUCCAGACUACUAACCAGUCUAAAUAAAAUUCAUAAAUUGACCCAAUCUAUUGAUCAACGGAACAAGUUACCCUAGGGAUAACAGCGCUAUCUCACUCGAGAGUUCAUAUCGACAGUGGGGUUUACGACCUCGAUGUUGGAUCAGGACAUCCAAAUGGUGCAGCCGCUAUUAAUGGUUCGUUUGUUCAACGAAUAAAGUC
rnacentral:rRNA from 1 species